rnacentral:tRNA from 2 species
AGGUCGGUGGUGCAGUGGUAAGCGUGGUUGCCUAUCACGACAGUUGGCCUGGGUUCGCUCCCAGUCGGCCUC